AUUGAACGCUGGCGGCAGGCCUAACACAUGCAAGUCGAACGAGUGGCGGACGGGUGAGUAAUGUCUGGGAAACUGCCUGAUGGAGGGGGAUAACUACUGGAAACAGUAGCUAAUACCGCAUACCAUCAGAUGUGCCCAGAUGGGAUUAGCUUGUUGGUGGGGUAACGGCUCACCAAGGCGACGAUCCCUAGCUGGUCUGAGAGGAUGACCAGCCACACUGGAACUGAGACACGGGCCAGACUCCUACGGGAGGCAGCAGUGGGGAAUAUUGCACAAGGGGCGCAAGCCUGAUACAGCCAUGCCGCGUGUAUGAAGAAGGCCUUCGGGUUGUAAAGUACUUUCAGCGGGGAGGCGUUACCCGCAGAAGAAGCACCGGCUAACUCCGUGCCAGCAGCCGCGGUAAUUC
rnacentral:rRNA from 1 species